ACGUUNGCGGCGUGGAUUAGGCAUGCNAGUCGUGCGCAGAAUCUCCUUCGGGAGAGGACAGCGGCGAAAGGGAGAGUAACGGGUGGUUACAUACCCUCAGACUCGGGAUAGUGUCGGGAAACUGACAGUAAUACCGAAUAAUAUCUACGGAUCAAAGGUGUGAUUCCGUCUGAGGAUUGGACCGCUUUCUAUUAGCUUGUUGGCGGGGUAAUGGCCCACCAAGGCUGCGAUGGAUACCGGGUGUGAGAGCAUGGCCCGGCUCACUGGGACUGAGACACUGCCCAGACACCUACGGGUGGCUGCAGUCGAGAAUCUUCGGCAAUGGACGAAAGUCUGACCGAGCGACGCCGCGUGCGGGAUGAAGGCCUUCGGGUUGUAAACCGCUGUCAGUUGGGAGGAAAUAUUAGGGGGUACUCCCCAUAAUUUGACCGAUCUUCAGAGGAAGGACGGGCUAAGUUCGUGCCAGCAGCCGCGGUAAGACGAACCGUCCAAACGUUAUUCGGUAUCACUGGGCUUAAAGCGUGCGUAGGCGGCCUGGUAGGUGAGAUGUGAAAGCCCACGGCUCAACCGUGGAAUUGCGUUUCAAACCACCAGGCUUGAGGAUGGCAGGGGUGAUGGGAACUGAUGGUGGAGCGGUGAAAUGCGUUGAUAUCAUCAGGAACACCGGCGGCGAAGGCGCAUCACUGGGCCAUUUCUGACGCUGAGGCACGAAAGCUAGGGUAGCGAACGGGAUUAGAUACCCCGGUAGUCCUAGCUGUAAACGAUGAGCACUGGGUUGAGGGGA
rnacentral:rRNA from 1 species